rnacentral:rRNA from 1 species
CGUGUAGGCGGGUCUUUAAGUCAGAGGUGAAUGCCAAGGCUCAACCUUGGAACUGCCUUUGAUACUGGAGAUCUUGAGUCCGGGAGAGGUGAGUGGAACUGCGAGUGUAGAGGUGAAAUUCGUAGAUAUUCGCAAGAACACCAGUGGCGAAGGCGGCUCACUGGCCCGGUACUGACGCUGAGAUGCGAAAGCGUGGGGAGCAAACAGGAUUAGAUACCCUGGUAGUCCACGCUGUAAACGAUGGAUGCUAGCCGUUAGGCAGCUUGCUGCUUAGUGGCGCAGUUAACACUUUAAGCAUCCCGCCUGGGGAGUACGGUCGCAAGAUUAAA